AUAAAACUCCUAAACCCCUGUGAACUUACUGGUGUUUGGCUCGCCAGAUAUAGUCUGGUCCGUAAGCAAAUCGACUGCCUGCCUGUGUAACAGGCAGGUAAGCUUUUGUCGCGGGGUCCCGGAUCAACCCGGGCUAGAUAGCCACUUAACUAUAUACUUUUUAUAAAAUCUGUGAACUUACUAGGUUGGAUUCUCGCCAGAGAUAGUCUGGUUUCUGCUUCGCGGAUCGCCUACCCGUGACACCUGUCACAGGCAGGUAUGCUUCUGCCGCGGGUCCGUAAGUAAAUCAUCUGUUUCGCAAGGGACGGCGAUUUACCUGUGGAAGAGGUCCGCUAACUAUAUUCUUAGUAUAGUUUGUUCACUAGAUCAAACAUUCUGAAUAAAAACUUAAACUAGUUAAAACUUUCAACAACGGAUCUCUUGGUUCUGGCAUCGAUGAAGAACGCAGCGAAAUGCGAUAAGUAAUGUGAAUUGCAGAAUUCAGUGAAUCAUCGAAUCUUUGAACGCACAUUGCGCCCAUUAGUAUUCUAGUGGGCAUGCCUGUUCGAGCGUCAUUUCAACCCUUAAGCCCCUGUUGCUUAGCGUUGGGAGCCUACAGCCUGCUGUAGCUCCUUAAAGGUAGUGGCGGAGUCGGUUCACACUCUAGACGUAGUAAAAUCUUUAUCUCGCCUAUGGAUGAGCCGGCGCCUUGCCGUAAAACCCCUAAUCUUUCACAAGGUUGACCUCGGAUCAGGUAGGAAUACCCGCUGAACUUAAGCAUAUCAAUAAGCGGAGGAAAAGAAACCAACAGGGAUUGCCCUAGUAACGGCGAGUGAAGCGGCAACAGCUCAAAUUUGAAAUCUGGCCUUCGGGUCCGAGUUGUAAUUUGCAGAGGAUGCUUUGGGCGCGGUGCCUUCCGAGUUCCCUGGAACGGGACGCCUUAGAGGGUGAGAGCCCCGUACGGUUGGACACCAAGCCUCUGUAAAGCUCCUUCGACGAGUCGAGUAGUUUGGGAAUGCUGCUCUAAAUGGGAGGUAAAUUUCUUCUAAAGCUAAAUAUUGGCCAGAGACCGAUAGCGCACAAGUAGAGUGAUCGAAAGAUGAAAAGCACUUUGAAAAGAGGGUUAAAUAGCACGUGAAAUUGUUGAAAGGGAAGCGUUUGCGACCAGACCUUUUCCCAGCGGAUCAUCCGGUGUUCUCACCGGUGCACUUCGCUGGGUUGAGGCCAGCAUCGGUUUCCGCAGGGGGAUAAAAGCCUGGGGAACGUAGCUCCCUCGGGAGUGUUAUAGCCCCUCGCAUAAUACCCUUGCGGGGACCGAGGACCGCG
rnacentral:rRNA from 1 species